rnacentral:rRNA from 1 species
UCCCCCUGUUUAUCAAAAACAUGCCCUUUUGUUUAUACGUAGUAUAAAAGGUUGGACCUGCCCAGUGGUUUAUCUAAACGGCUGCAAUGAAUAAUUGUACAAAGGUAGCGAAAUCAGUUGUCCUUUAAAUGGGGAAAGGUAUGAAAGGUUUGACGAUAAAGAAGCUGUCUCUUAAAAAUAGUGUGAAGUUUCCGUUUAAGUGAAAAGGCUUAAAUUUUUGAAAAAGACGAGAAGACCCUAUUGAGCUUGAUUAUAUUUUUUUUAUUAAGAAAGUUGAAGUUUUAUUGGGGCAAUAAGAAGCUAUAAGGAACGCUUCUUUUUAAGGUAAAGAUCCUCCAUGGGAGAAGUAAGCAAAAGUUACCAUAGGGAUAACAGCGUUAUCUUUCUUAAGAGUUCUAAUUGAGGGAAAGGUUUGCGACCUCGAUGUUGGAUUAAGAUGUCUUUUUGGUGCAGCAGCUAAAAAAGUAAGACUGUUCGUCUUUUAAAAUUUUACGUGAUCUGAGUUCAACGG